rnacentral:rRNA from 1 species
AGCGGCGGACGGGUGAGUAACGCGUGGGUAACCUGCCUCAUACAGGGGGAUAACAGUUGGAAACGGCUGCUAAUACCGCAUAAGCGCACAGUACCGCAUGGUACGGUGUGAAAAACUCCGGUGGUAUGAGAUGGACCCGCGUUGGAUUAGCUAGUUGGUGGGGUAACGGCCUACCAAGGCGACGAUCCAUAGCCGGCCUGAGAGGGUGAACGGCCACAUUGGGACUGAGACACGGCCCAG